rnacentral:rRNA from 1 species
UAGGGAAUCUUCGGCAAUGGACGAAAGUCUGACCGAGCAACGCCGCGUGAGUGAAGAAGGUUUUCGGAUCGUAAAACUCUGUUGUUAGAGAAGAACAAGGACGGGAGUAACUGAACGUCCCCUGACGGUAUCUAACCAGAAAGCCACGGCUAACUACGUGCCAGCAGCCGCGGUAAUACGUAGGUGGCAAGCGUUGUCCGGAUUUAUUGGGCGUAAAGCGAGCGCAGGCGGUUUCUUAAGUCUGAUGUGAAAGCCCCCGGCUCAACCGGGGAGGGUCAUUGGAAACUGGGAGACUUGAGUGCAGAAGAGGAGAGUGGAAUUCCAUGUGUAGCGGUGAAAUGCGUAGAUAUAUGGAGGAACACCAGUGGCGAAGGCGGCUAUCUGGUCUGUAACUGACGCUGAGGCUCGAAAGCGUGGGGAGCAAACAGG